CUGACAACCGUGAGGAUUUAAGUCCUCUGUUCAUCCUCAGAUAGGAUACAGCAUUGGCAGCGCCAGCUUCCCUGCUAAUAGAUGUGCCCUGAUCUAAAGGGACCAUCUCUGUGUGUGAGAGAGUAAUUCAGUCUCCGUGGCUUAUUCAACCCUUUGCAUCU
rnacentral:sRNA from 1 species